rnacentral:misc_RNA from 1 species
GAUGAAGAACGUAGCGAAAUGCGAUAAGUAAUGUGAAUUGCAGAAUUCAGUGAAUCAUCGAGUCUUUGAACGCACAUUGCGCCCCCUGGUAUUCCGGGGGGCAUGCCUGUCCGAGCGUCAUUGCUGCCCUCAAGCACGGCUUGUGUGUUGGGCCGUCGUCCCCCUCCUAGGGGACGGGCCCGAAAGGCAGCGGCGGCACCGCGUCCGGUCCUCGAGCGUAUGGGGCUUCGUCACCCGCUCCGUAGGCCCGGCCAGCGCUUGCCGACGACCAUCAAUCUCUUUCUCCAGGUUGACCUCGGAUCAGGUAGGGAUACCCGCUGAACUUAAGCAUAUCAAUAAGCGGAGGA